CUGGUUACUUGGAAGUAGAGAUGAGAAUUAGCUAGGUGGCUCAGGGGAUAGAGAGCCAGGCCCAAGAGAGAGAGGUCCUGGGUUCAAAUCCGGCCUCAGACACUUCCUAGCUGUGUGACCCUGGGCAAGUCACUUCACCCCCAUUACUGCUCUUCUGCCUUAAAACCAGAACUUAGUAUCAAUUUUAAGAUGAACUGUAAGAGUUUAAAAAAGAAAGUGGAGGGAGUACAUUUGUAGGAUUGUAUAUUAAUAAGAAAUAUUCAUGUGAGGAAAUCGAGGAAGGGAGAAGAACGUGGGAGAGCAUUUGAGGAGGUCCAGAAGAGUACUCAGAAGUGAUCUGUCAGGAGUUAGAUGAGGCGUCUGAAAAACGGCUCCCGAGCUUGGCUUGGAGGCAGCCUGGUACCCGGUGAUGGCGAUGAAGCCAGAGUGUCAGCACAGCUAGAGCGAGGCAAGAGCUCCUGGGAACGGAGACUGAAGCCGCCCCUCUCUGGUCUUAACAAAUGAAAAGGGCCCCAAGGAUGGGCCCAGCAAUGAACUCAGGCAGAAACCAGCCUAGAGGAGUUUUCAAAGGCUCAAAAGAAUUUGAAUUUAGGGCCGAAUCCAUCCACCCAAAGGGUUUUUGGGUCUUUUUCCCAUCUGCUUGGAUAUAAGUAUUUUACCUGGUAAAAUCACAGGACUUUUGGUUUCCUGAAAUGUAUGGUGAACAAGUCCAGCUCCAAAGAUGCAAUCUGUACCUUGCUUUGCAGAGGUGGGGGAUUAUGGGUACAGAAAACCACAUAUAAUUUCAGAUCUGUAAAAUGUGUUGGUUUAGUUUUGCUAAAUUCCACCCCCUCCUGAUUUAAAAAAAAAUUUUUUUAAGGCAAUGGGGGUUAAGUGACUUGCCCAGGGUCACACAGUUGGGAAGUAUCUGAGGUCAGAUUUGAACCUAGGACCUCCCAUCUCUAGGCCUGCCACCCAGCUGCCCCCUUUAUUCUUUCUUAAAAGGGAUGGAUGGCUUUCUGGGAGGCAAUGGAAGAGGACACAGUGGGGGUUAGAAAACAUUUCAUGUCCUCAGUAAAAGGUCCUUGACCCAGAAUCUGGCGAACUUGUUUUAAAAAAUAUGGGAUAAUGGAAUUAAAAAAAUUAUAAAUUUAUAUUUUAUUUAUAUUAUUAUUAUAUUUAUAUAUUAUAAGAUUGAUAAUCUCUACCAAGUAUUGGUUCCCAAGGCAGAAGAGAGGUAAGGGCUAGGCAACUGGAGUUAAGUGACUUGUCCAGGGUCAUACAGCUAGGAAGUAUCUGAGGCCAGAUUUGAACCCAGGACCCCCUGUCUCUAGGCCUGGCUCUUUAUCCACUGAGCCACCCAGCUGAUAACUGAAUUUUAGUAGAAUUGGUUUUCUGUGUCAUCCUAGAUAUUUUAUUUUACACAUAUAAAACAUGAGUCUGAGCAGAGGCUCCCCUGGGAACCAGACCCAAAGAGGGCCCCACAUCACCGGCCAUUCCUUCUUGUAAGGCCCCUCCCCGGUCUGGAGUUCUACAGUCUGAUUCUUUGGUCCUGCAGCUCUGGCUGACCUGUUGCUCUGCUUUGGCAGGGCCGUCCAUGUGCUGCCUUGGGCUGACUGGGUGACAGGAAGGUCCUGAUGAGGGGCUGCUUCUGCAGAGCACCCCCAUCACCUUGUGCUUUAUCUGGGGUGAUGAAAGCCGUAACAAUAAUGAGCCUUAAAGGCUGCAAAUAUUAUCCCACUCAAUCACCACGGCCAGGGGAGUUAGGUGCUUUGAUGAUCCCCAUCUGACAGAUGGGGAAACUGAGGCAAGGCAGGUGACUCGCUCAGGACAGUCCAGCCAGUAGGCGUGUGAAGGAGCUUUUGCACUCGGGUCGUCCUGAUCCCGAGUCCAGGGCUUUCUCCCCUCCUCACCAGCCUCUGCCUAGCAGUGAUCCGCUAGGCCUGUGGCAGUCAGCAGCGUAGGGACCCCCAGCAGAAGAGGGGACAGGGAUCGUCUGCACUUAGACGGGGCUUUGCGGAUGCUUCUUGUCCUUGUGUUUUCCGGAUGGCCUUGCGAGUCAGAGAGGCGCGUUUUAUUUGUCCCCCUUUUACACACGGGCCGACACAGAGCAGGUUCAAAAACGUGUCCGAGCUCACGAAGCUAAUGAGCGUAUUCAUGGGAUUCCCAGGAACAAGGACAGACGGACGGACGGACGCGGCAUUCUGCCCCGUGGUGGGCUCCUUCCGGGGGUGUCGUUCUGCAGGAAAGCCCAGAGGCGGAUGGUCUGGUCAAAAAGAACGAUGGUUUCCCUCUUUGUACUGGAUGAGAGCCAACACGACAUCACAGACACUGGAUCUGAGGGAGGCAGCGCUGCCCAAAGUCCUCAGCUCAGUCUCUCUCCAGAGCCCAGUGGCAGGACAAAAGUCAAGGGGCCUGGAGAGGCCUCAGGAUGCCGUGGACGUCCUGGGCCAGUAUCCAAGCUCUAAGAGUCCCAGGUGCCCACUUCGGCCUCCUUCGGGGCCGCUGGAACAAACUGUUCCUGUCCACCCCUUCCGCGAGGGGAGAGCUCACACGCCUGGGGUAGACACCCCACUGACUCACCAACUAUUGCUUACCCUCCACUGUGGUUCACUCAGUUCCCACAAGGGCCGUGUCAACGUGAAUGAAUUAUUCCUCUUCUCUGGUCUCUAGUGUUUUGGUUUUUUAUUUAUAAGUAUUUUAAUGCUCUAGUGUUUCUCUGCCCCAUAAGGCACCUCAAUUUCAGAUGAGCCAGAACAUUCUCCCCAUCGUUUCCUAAAGAGAAACUCCAAGCGACCUACUCUCUUGGAGGGUCAGACUAGAUAAGUUCACAGUUAUUCAGUCCAUCCUCUUCCUGCUGCCCCGCUGCCAACAAGGACUGUAGGAAAAUGGGGUUUCAUGACUCUCGUUUUUAAACCUUUCCAAGGACUUGGAACCUAACUAAGACUGUCUCCAGGACCUUCCACUGUGAGGAAGGACACAAGCCAAGUAUCCUUCACUUUUUACAGGGCUCCCUUCUGGCUCUCCAUCCUCUGCCACCUUCCCUUUUCAGAUCCCUUGAAGUGUGUGGGUUUCCUCCAAGAGAACGGAAGCUCUCUGAAGGCUUGUUUUGCUUGUGUUUGUAUCCCCUGGGGAGCUCUGGGAAGACUUCAUACCUCUGCUCCUCGACUACGGAUUUUUCGUGAGAUCACAUCCCAAGACCUACUGUGUCUCUUUUCACAUCUUCAUCAAGCAAGUGGGCAAGUCAUCUGAUUUUUCUGCGGCUCAGUUUCCUCAUGUGUAAGGUAAGGGGUUUGCUCUGGCUCUAACAUUCUUUGAUCCUUAAGGCUGAUACUGUUUGGGGGACAUCUUGGAUCUUCCUCCUCUUUCUUUAAAACAGCAGGACCUAAAGUUAAAUGAGACCCAUUGACAGUCUUAGGUGGGCUCUUCCUCUCUCAAAGUUACUUCCACGUGUUUACGUGCAUUUGUAUGGGCUCAACUUCCCCCGGUUGUCAUGGCCAUCACAGCGGCCUUGCCUGGCAAUGAAGGUUGAGGGAACUCCAAUUAAACCAUGAUUAAGCAUCUCCUAAGAACAAGGUCUUGUGUGCAGUUUGGGGUAUGCGGAGAUUUAAAAUGACAGUUUCAGCCCUUAGGCGGGCCUAUGGGAGCAUGAAAGGCUGAAAUGGCAUGAAAUGUGUUUGGGGCAAAAGGAUACAUUUAGAAAAGAGGCCAUGACGAGAACAAGGCCAGCUGGAAACCAAGGGGAGGCUCAAAGAGCCUUUAGUUGGGCCUUGACCAGAGGGAUACCAACAGGUAUGGAGGGCUCCAUGUACACACACUGCCCAGAUUGGUGGGAGAACCUUCUGGGAGUUGGGGUGGAAACUGUCACAGGAACUGGAAAAAGCCAUGAUGCAAAGGCUGCUAGGAAGGAAGGAGCCUAGACGGGCAGGUUAGAAUCUGAUGGAGGAGCUCUGACUGCCAAUGGGAGGAGCUGUUCCUUUAGGAAACGAGGAGCCCUGACUUUCUGAGGGGUGAAGCAAUCCAAGCAAUGUAUUAGCUGGACUCCAUUGGCAUGGCUGGGGAUUUGAAGUGGGAUCAGAGCAAUCAGAGAGCCCAGCUUGGCCAAUGCAGCUCUCCGGAGGGCACCAACCCCAUUCUUAUCAAUUCUGGCUUUGAAGUGUCAAGGCCUUCCCACCCUGCCUGGCCCGGAAGACAGAGGAGGGCUAGGUGUUCCCAGGGCCCCAGCUGUGAAUCCCAAGUCAGGGUAAAGGUAUCUCAGCUUAGCAGCAGAAGCAUCCUAGCAUUGAGUCUAAGGCUAUGAAAAGAUCAAGGGGCUUGUCCUUGUGAUGACCAUUAAAAACAGUUAGGCCUAAAGUCAGAAGUUCUGGGUCCAAAUCUGGCCUCAAAAACUGCCUAGCUGUAUGAUCCUGGCCAAGUCACUUAACCACCACGUCCUAGUCCUUACCAAUACUUAGUAUCAGUUCUAAGAAAGGAGGUAAGGGUUUAAGAACAACAAAAAAGGAAUUCAGCAGAACACCCCAGCAGACCCAACCCUCGGAGACCAUCCCCUUCUUUCCCAAUGCAGGCAGGAAGUCCCCCAGCUUCAUUUGCCCCCUUUGUGUGACCAUUUAGCAUACAUUUUACCCUAUUUUUGCAAUCUGCCCCAUCCUUUAUGGUUCCCUCACUGCUAAUUAUCCUUGCACAGAUGCAAUUUCACAAGUGGGAAAGGACCCACUUAGACGAAGAUAUUUCUAGCAGCUCUUUUUGUGGUGGGAAAGAAUUGCAAACUAAAGAGAUGCCCAUCCAUUGAGGCAUGGCUGAACAAAUUGUGGUAUAUGUUGGUGAUGGAAUACUAUUGGGCAGUAAGAAAUGAUGAGUAGGAUAAUUUCAGAAAGAGCUCGAAAGACCUCCAUGAACCAAGGAAAAUAAGCAGAACCCGCAGAACAUUGUACACAGUAGCAGCAAUAUUGUGGGAUGAUCAACCAGAAUAGCCUUGGCUACCCUCAGCAACGCAGUGAUCCAGGACAGCUCUGAGGGCCUCAGGACAAAGAACGCUCUCUGUCCACCUCCAAGGAAAGAACUGGGGGAGUUGGAAUGAACAUCUUUCCCUUCAGUUUAUUUGGGUUUGUUUUGAGGUCUUGGUUUCAAAUGAUUAUUCUCUUACAAAUGGACAAUAGUCUAUUUUGCAUGAUAACACGUGUAUGCCCCAGACCAAAUUGCUCAUCAUCUCUGGGAAGAGAAGGAAGGGAGGCAGCUUGGACCUUAUAACUGCAGAAUACUUACGUGGAAAAUUAUUAUUACGUGUAAUUGGGUAAAAUAUCUUUACAGAUGCAAUGUCACAAGCAUUUGUUUACACCUACAAUGUACAAUUCUACAACGGUAGAAUCUGGGGGAAAAGCCCUCAAGAAGUUUAUAUUCUCCAGGAUUUAUUACUGAGAUGUCCUCUGUAGCUCAGAGAAUUCUUAUGAGGCAAGACAGGAAUUAGCAUUCCCAUUUUGCAGACAAUGCUUUCAGAAUGGCCGACUUGUCCAAGAGAACAUGGCUAAUCACUAAGGAGGGCAGGACUUGAAAACAUGGCAUUUGCCUCCCCCAUUCCAAAUUCCCAGCCCUUUCUAAAAAAGUCAGUUAGGGAUUCCAUACAUUAAGAUGCAUUGCAAGGGCAGCUAGAUGGUAAAGUGGAUAGAAUGCCAAGCCUAGAGACGAGAGGACCUAGACUCAAAUCUGGCCUGGAGCACUUCCUGGCUGAGUGACCCUGGGCAAGUCACUUACACCCCAUUGCCUAGCCCUUACUGCUCUUCUGCCUUGGAACCAAUACUUAGUAUUGAUGCUAAGACACAAGGUAAAGAUUUAAAAAAAAAAUUAAUAUGGGGCACUACCCUGGGCUAGCACCCCCCUUUUUAUUACCACACAGGGCUCAGUGCUUGGCUAUACUAUCCCUCCCAUGAGGCAGAUGGGGAGCUGGCAGAAGAGGUAUUAGAUUUGGUCAAGGCUGACAUUAAAUCUUGGCUCCAUCAUGGUAAAGUUCUUCUCCUUCAUGGAAAGAUCUGCCUUCUUUGCAGGGAAUGGGAAGGUCUGGACUUGGGAUUUCAUCUAUGUGGGAAGUCUCUGGUGUAGAAUCUCCUCAGAUUCACAGCUGUCCCAGUGCCAGGGGGACUGGGUUCAAGAGCUAGUCUGUCAGAGGCAGCCGUGGGCCCAGGGCCCACUCAGUGGCAGACAUCCCUGUCACUGCGGGGUCCAUGGCCAGUUCAUCCCAGAGGCUGUGGUCUCCGAGAUAUCCUUUGAACAGUGAAAUGCCAGCCCUUAGGAUUCUGUCUCAAGUCCGAGUGGAGGUGCCUCCUGGGCUUGGAGAGGCUCUGGAAGGUCAUCCCAGCCCCGAAGGCUUAGUGGUGAAAGGUCUGGUGACUGACCAGAUGACGUAUGUGCAGAAAAGACCAUCUUCCAAAGAGUGGCUACAGGCAAAGAAUUUCUCUGCCCACAAAGAUUCAUGGUACAACCAUCUCCUACAGCACCGAAGGGUGGUAGUGACUUGGAGCUGCCAUACUAAUGAUAUCACAGACUUAUGAAAGUAGACUUAUUAGAACUGCUUAGGUUUAGGAAGCAAGAUUUUUAGUUAAAACAAAGGCUUGGUAGAGCACCAGGCUGGGAGUUGGGAGGACCUGGGUUUGGAUCGGGCCUUAGCCACUUUCUGGUUGUGGGACCCUGGGCAAGAACUUAACCCCAUUUGCCUAGCCCUUGCUCUUCUUAGAAUUGUUACUAAGACAGAAAAUAAGGGUUUUUUGAAAAUUAACUUCUCCUUUGAAAACCCUGUGUUGUUUUCUAGAGUCUAGAGAGGAGGGGUGCAGCCAUGCAGCUUUGUAGAGACAAACCACCAGUGAGACAAUGCAAGCUGAGAUACAAGGAGCCCUUUUAUAAGAAGUGACAUGCUUUGUGAAUGGGGCCUUCGAAUGGCUAGGCAGGCCCGACAGCCCGGCUCAGUGGUAGGAAGCAGCAGGUGAGGAUUUCACUGGGUGGUGGCAGCCAUGAAUAGGGUUGAAUGUUUGUCCUUUUAGGCCAGGCCAGGCCAGAGCUCAGGUUGGUUUCUCAAAGAGGUACUCGAGAUCUGGGGCCCGCAGCCUCUGUUCUUUAUUCUUGUUCUUGGCAAAGUCCCUCAGCAUUGCCAUGACUUCAUUUUCAAAGAUCUCGGGGGCUGGCUUUGCUUCUGUAGAACAAGGGAAGAUGACAAGGGCAUAAGAGACAGAGCUCAAGCCAAUUUCAAGCUCAAGACCUAAGCUCUGGCCUUGGGCUCAAGGUGUACUUCUUCCAAAGAGGCCUGGACCUAUCCUUUCCUUCAACUGAGCUUGGGAUUGAACUCAGCCUCCUCUUCUGCCCCUGCAAUGUUUUAGAGACCAUGUACUGUGCCACCCCUACACCUGACAGGGGAGGGAGAAAGGGAGGAGUGGUCUGAGCACUCUACUCAGGAGAGGGAGUAAGUGUAGAGGGGCAGGAAGGCACGGUGGAGAGGGGGAAGGGAGCAGCUCUGCCAGAGUCCCUCUGCCGGGGCCUGUGUGUAUGCCCACAGAGAGGUCUCUGCGUGCCAUCUUUGGCACUCAUGCCAUAGGUUUUCCAUCACAGCCCUACACUGUGCCCCUUCAUUGGGCUGGGACCACUCUUACACAGUAGCAGCUGGGUGGGGUACAGGAAGGAAAGUGGGGAGAACCAAAGUAGAUAGAGCACUGGAAAUCAGGAAGACCCGAGUUCAAAUAAUUUUCUUCCUAGUUGUAUGACCCUGGGCAAAUCACUCCACCGUUGCCUCAGUUUACUUAACUAUAAAAUGGAGAUUGUAUAGCACCUACUUUGCUUGUUGUGAGCCUCAAAUGAGAUAUCUGUAAAGUGAAUAGCAUAGCACCGGGAAUGUAGCAGUUAGUACAUAAAUGCCAUUAUUAGUAUUAGUUGUUGGCUUAUUAUUUCUAUUAUGGUGCCCAGCACCCAGAUGGAACAUGCCAAUGUCUGAGGGAUUUGACAAACCAAUCAUGUAGCUAAUAGGCCAAGUAGUCUCUGAGAACAGCAAUCUGAUUUAUUGCUGUCUCUCCCUUGAAAAGGUGAGACUUUCUUGCUUUUUAAAUCUCUUUCAGGGCCUUGCACAGAAUAAGUGUAAAAUACCCUUUUAAUUUAUUCAUUGUCAACAGAAUGAUGGCGAUAUUCUUGCAACCACAUUCUUAGGUGGCCCUGAUUGGGCAGUGCCUAACAUUGGUGUGGGCUUGGAAGCAAACAGAUCUGGGUUCCCAUCCCAGCGGACACACUUAUAAUCUGGGGAGACACACUAUUUCAGAACCUCAAAUUUUUUUCACCUGUAAAAUGAGGUUAAUAUUUGCACUCUCAGCAAAGUAAGCCUCAGGGUGCCCUAGAAAUGUAACUCAAAGUCUGGAUGAGACAGAUGGGAGAUCUCUGUUUUCAUUCUACGCUCUUCCUCAGAUGAGCCAUUCAGAUCAUCUCAUCUUGGGUUGCUGUUAUCCAGGCCUUUCUGGAAAUGUUCUGGAGGGGUAAGCCAGUGUGCUGAAGGCCUCCAAGCUGGAUAUUAUUUUAGUCUAAUCUCAUUUCACAACUAGGGACACUGAGGACCAGGAAGGGUAAGCAACACCGUUGAACCCCGUUCUUCCAUCCUCCAAUAGAGCCCUUCCCAUGGUCUCUGGCUCUUUUGCUUUCUUGGAUACCACAGCAUCCAAAAAAAAGAGCUAUUAAAGGAGUGUUUACACUGACUACAUCAUCACAGGUUCUCGAAGUAACAAAGAAGUAUUUUAAGCUUAGCUCACAGAUUCAACAGAACCUUGUUUGAAUGAUGGGACAAGACUCAAGCAUAACAAAAUUAAUUUUAAAAUAUUCUUUUAUUCUUGAGAAAUGAAUCUUAUUCCUUGGUGGUAUCCCACAGGUUAGUGUAAGAGCACCAGGCACACCUUGCUUUGGGUUUUCUGGAUAAACUGAAGUGAUGAUCACAUUGGAUGUAGGAACAAACAGCCAGGGUUUGCAUCCUGGCUUGGCUACUGCUCAUGUGACUUUUAUCAAGUCACUGAUCUCCCCCAAUGUGUAUGAUGACACCAUCUACGGGCCCUGUGAACAUGUCUGUAAUGUGGGUGGGUAGGGGAGGACGGAUCAAAGCCUGAGGAUACUGUGACUGUUCUAGGAGUUGAGCUACAAGAGGUGACUUGACACUGUAAAGAAUACUGGGUUGAGAUCCCAAAUCUAAAUUCAAGCCUUGGUUUUGCUUAUUAAAGUCAACAGUCCUAGACAAGUCACUUCCUUUCUCUGAGACUGGUUUCCCUGAUGUAUAUUGAAGGAGUUGGACCAAAUAACCUCUGAAAUUUGUUAAGCCUAAAAACGUGUGCUCCAAGUUUCUGGUCAAGAAUCAGAGAACACAACUUUUGAGACCAUGGCUUCCAGUGUCAACCAGCUCCUAAGGACCCCCACCUUGCUGUGUUCUAGGGUGUUCAGCAAGAGAAUAUAGCCAUCAAGCCAGGAGGGCCCUUAAGCCAAUCUUGUCAUUUCACAGGGGAAGCCUAGGUCAGGGAAACAGUUUGUGUUGGAGCCAAAUUAGAACCCAGGUCCCCCAAGUGCAGACCCAGAGCCCCAGGCACCUGUGUCACCUGGCAGUACCUGUUGCCCAGUAGUAGAUAUCCCAGUCAUUACUGGGCUCAUUGAUUAGUCGGUCAUAGAGGUUCAGCUGCCUCUCUGUCAUCUGGUGUAGAUUCUCCUUGGCAAAGAGGCUAAAUGAAAAGGAAAAAAGGCAGUUCAGAGGGCCUGCUUGUGGCCGAGAGGUCCCAGUGACAUGGCUGUAGAGGCAGCCCAAGAACCCCCCCCCCCUUUCCUACCUCAGAAGGAUGCAGUUCUCUAGCAUGCCUCUCUUCCUGCUCUCAUAAAGCAGGCGGGCCCUCUUGGUUUCAAUUGGUUCAUCUGUUCGCUCUUCCCAUGGGGGCAAAGGGAUUUCAAGCAUGUCCUUUUGGGAGUCUGUUGGGCUGUCACCUUGGUAGAAUCGUCUGGAUAUUGACCUGCCCCCAAAGGGAGAUACAAGAGUGUGCCUGAACAAGGCAAGAAACUAGAAGAAAAAAAAAAAGUAGUGAAUCCAGCUGCAUGUAACUCAAUUCCAGAAACUCUUUAAAAAGCCUACUGUGUGCUAGGGACCAUACACCAAAAAGAAUGCACACCCGAGAUGGGAUGCAAGGAGUUAUCUGGAAUUAGGGGGAUGAGCUGCUCUAAGUCAACUUCAAGGGUCAAGGCCCAGUGUGGAGGACACACAGACAAAACCAAGAGUUCCUAACCAGAAGGAGCUCUGAUAGGUAUAGAGAAAAACAAAAGGGGCUCUUGAGGAAGAAGAGAAUGCUAUCAGUUAGAAUUGGGGAGUGGGGAAAGAAUGGGAAAUUUCCCAGAGGUUGCAUCUGAGCUACUGAUGCAAAUUUUGAAAGGCAUGGAUGAAGAGGACAUGCACCCAGGCAGGGGUAGGGAUGGUUUCUUUCUGAACAGAUGCAUGGCAAGGUGAGAUGGAAGAUCCAACUGAGGGAAUAGCUGGGAGUCUAGUUUGGCUGCAAUAAUGAAUGUCAGGAGAAAAAUGCUAAAUAAAGCCAGAAAGAUCCUUUGUGGAUUCUUUAUAUGUGGAAAUAUUCAUGUUUAUUGAUGUCUGUUAAGUCCAUAAUGAAGAAAAACUGCAGGGAAACUGGUGUUUUCUCCCUAGAGGUAAGUGGGUUUUUGCUAGGGUUUUUUUUUCUUUUAAACCCUUACCAGAAUUGUCUUAGAAUCAAUACUAAGUAUUGGUCCUAAGGCAGAGGAGCAGUAAGAGCUAGACAAUGGGGGUUGUGACUUGUCCAGGGUUCCACAACUAGGAAGUGUCUGAGGUUACAUUAGAAUCCAGGACCCUGUCUCUAGGUCUGGCUCUCUAUCCACUGAGAGAUCUAGGUGCCCCAGUUGCUAAGGUUUUUGAGCUGGAAGCAACAUGGCCAUGAUUUAUGGAGGAUGGACCAAAGCUUUGUGGAUGACUGGAGAUGGAGCCUAUAACAAUUCUCUAGGGAGCAACAAGAGGAAAAUAGCCACAGGAAGGGAAAAGAGGAUAUGAGAUACUGUAUAGGCAGAACUGAGAGGACUUGGUUACUGAUCAGAUAUAGAGGGUGAAGGAGAAGAGUCAAGGAUGACUCAAAGAAUGUAGAUCACUUAGUGUGGAAGAUUUUGGUGUCCUCCACAGAAAUUUUAGAUUGGAGAAGGGCUUGGCUUAGGGGAGAUAUGAGAAGUGGUGUGGUUUAAUGGAAAGAGAAUUAGACCUCAGUACUCUGAAACUAUGAUUGGAUAUUUAUUAUCUGGGGUCCCACAUAUAUAAAAGGAGGCUAGAUUAAAUAAUCUCUAUCUCUAGGUCUAAAAUCUGGCCUACCAUUUCUACUAGUUCAUACUCACUUUCUAAUGCUUUAGCUCUUCUCCUUGGUAGAAUGCUGAAAUAAACACUCAGUUUGCAGUUGGAAAGCCUGUGCUUUAGUCGGGUUUUGUUACUCAUCUUGGGUAAGUUACUGAACUUCUCCCAACUGAGAAAUGGCCCAAGGAUUUGAAUAAGAAAAUCCAAAAUUUCUACAGCUAUAUGGACAACCUAAAUCACUAAUAAUUAGCCACACAGAUCAGAGCAACUCUGAGCUUCUACCUCUUAUUAAAUUGGCAGUUGACCAAAAAGGGAAAUGUGUCAGGUGCUAGAGGGUCUCUAGUGCACUCACUGCUGGUAAAGCUCUUCUGGAGCUGGGCCCAGAGUUACCCAACUCUAUGUACCCUUGGAUUCAACACCACCAUCACUACAUGGAUCACUAUGGAUCAAAGAGGAGGAGGCCCUAGAUAUACAGAGAUUUCUACCAAAUCUUUUUGUAGGUGCAAAGAGUUAGGGGCUACUCAUCAACUGGGGAACUGGCAGAUCAGAUUAUCCUAUAAAUGGAUUGUUAUACUAUUUAUUGGGCCAUAAAAAACAAUGAAGGGAAGUUUUAGAACAAAUUGGAGGGGAAAGCUAGGUGGCUCAGUAGAAAGAGAGCCAGGAGAUCCCGGGUUCAAAUCUGACCCUGGACAUUUCUUAGCUGUGUGACCAGAGGCAAGUCACUUAACCACCAUUGCCUAGCCCUUACUACUCUUUUGCCUUAGAAUCAAUACAUAGUACUGAGUAUAAGAUGGAAGGUUGAAAAAUAAAAACGUGGGAAGACUUCUAUGAAUUGAAGCAAUUUGAGGUCAGGAAAUAGGGAAGGGAAGAAGCAUUUCCAUGAUACCUGUGAUGCUAGUACUGGGCUAAGUGCUCUAUAUUAUCUCAUUACAUACAACAAUCUGGGAGAUGUACCCUAUGAGGUAGAUGCUAUUAUCUGCAUUUUACAGAUGAGGAAAUUGAGGUAGGUAGAAAGUGACUUUUCCAGAGUCACAUACCUAAUAAUUUAUCUGAGCCUGGAUUUGAAUUCCUGACUGUAGACCUACCUUUAUAGCUACCUACUAGGAAUAUAACUUAUGCAAUAAACACAAAAGCAUAAAAAUAAACAAUUUUGAAAGAUUUACUCUGAUCAACACAAUGACCAACCAUGAUUCCUAAGGUCCAAGGGAAAAGAAUGCCACCCCCCAUAGUGAGGAAGUGACAUUUCUGAACAAUGGGAAUUUGUUUUGUUUGACUAGGUAUAUUAUAAGUGUUUCCCUCUACUAGGGGUAAGGGAGAUAGGAAGGAGAGAAAAGAAAUGCUAGUUAACUGAAAAAAAAAAAAACAAAAAUCGUCUCUGGGUCUGUUUUUCCAUGUUUGCAAUGUAAAGGUUAGAAUAAAUGGUUUCUAAAUUUUCUUCCAACUGAAAAUCCUGUGAACCACCAAGAUGUGGAAAUUGAGUCUCAUCGGUUAAGAGAUCUGGAAGCUAGAACUAUAGAUUCCAGAAUAAUGAGGUUCUGCAUGAAACUGCUAUAGGCCUUAAGUAUGUGGGCUGUGACAGAAAGAGACCUGGCAGCCCACCUAGUCUUUGACUAUACCUCUUAGGUCCACCUUUUAAUCAUAAUCCAAAGGCUCAAAACUUUGUGAUUCACCCCAAACUGUACUUAUGGGUCAGCCGUUUCCUCUUUCUGCGUUCCCUAGGCUCCAUCCAGUGUGUUCAACACCAAAGUAUUUGGAGAGCAAUGGAAAGUCGGUAUAGCUGAGCUCUCUCCCAAGCAGCCUCACAUCAUUGCAUGAUCUUGGUUCAGGAAUAAAGCAAUAAAUAGGAGUUACCAAAGUACUUCUUUAGCUUGGGAACCUUUCUCUUGGCCCCAAUCCCUUGGGUAAAUCCUUCACUCAUAUUAUAGAUUAAACCUUUAAGAACAUAUGAGUAGGGGUGGCUAGGUGGCUUAGUGGAUUGAGAGUCAGGCCAAGAGACCAGAGGUCCUGAGUUCAUAUCUGGUCUCAGCUAUGUCCUAGCUGUGUGACUCUAAGCAAGUCACUUAACCCCAAUUGCCUAGCCCUUAUUGCUCUGCUGCCUUAGAAUUGAUACUAAUGCAGAAAAUAAGGGUUAAAAAAAUAUGAGGAAUCACAAUUCUUUCAUGAGCUUUGAACAACUUCUUGAUUUCUGGCCAAAAAUAACCUCAUCUCGGCCCUCUGUUCUUACCAACCUACAUUUAGGUACCAACUCUCUCAAGGAGCAACUUCCUUCCUUCCUACUCCAAUCCAGAAGAGGGUUUCUGAAUUCUCCUUUCCCUAAUCCACUCAGCCACAAGGGCAUUCCCUUCAGGAAUCUUGGACUUUGCAUUAAAAGAAUUCAGAUUUCCUAGGUACAAAGAAUUUUGAGUGGAAGUCCCUAAUUCCCCAGAGGAAGAAAGUUGGCUAAGCAGAAGUUCCAUUAUAAUAGGCCCCACUAUUUGCAUGUUAAAGGCUCAUCCACAGCUAUCCAAUCUCCACAACUGCUAUUUGCACCUUAAAAGAGCCAUAAGGGGGGGGGGGGGG